CCAAUAGCGUAUAUUAAAGUUGUUGCAGUUAAAAAGCUCGUAGUUGAAUUUCGGGAUUCGUCCAUUGGUCAGGCUUAACUGUCUGUACUGAUGUGUCGGAUUUCUACCUUCUGAAGAACCUUCAUGCCAUUAAUUUGGUGUGUUGGGGAAUCAGGACUGUUACUUUGAAAAAAUUAGAGUGUUUAAAGCAGGCUAACGUCUGAAUACAUUAGCAUGGAAUAAUGAAAUAGGACGGUACGGUUCUAUUUUGUUGGUUUCUAGGAUCGCCGUAAUGAUUAAUAGGGAUAGUUGGGGGCAUUAGUAUUCAAUUGUCAGAGGUGAAAUUCUUGGAUUUAUUGAAGACUAACUACUGCGAAAGCAUUUGCCGAGGAUGUUUUCAUUAAUCAAGAACGAAAGUUAGGGGAUCGAAGACGAUCAGAUACCGUCGUAGUCUUAACCAUAAACUAUGCCGACUAGGGAUUGGACGAUGUUAAUUUUUUAAUGACUCGUUCAGCACCUUACG
rnacentral:rRNA from 1 species